UAAUUACUCGGAUUCGAAUUGAAAUCGCCGUACGUUGGCUUCAAUAAUAAACCCUAUUGGCCAGUUUGUUAAGCACAACCAGGACCAUUCGACAACCAAUCUGAAUGUAUUAUGCCAAGAGGAAGUUUGUUAUAUUGUUUAUCUCUGAUAGUAAUAGCCGAUACAUAACGUACACUUUGAAAUGGAGUAAAUAGAAGACAAGCACUGGUUCCCACAUAGAUUUGAAUGGUAGCAGCUAAUCUAAUUUAAAAAGACAAGUCUUUAAACCUUACAAAUAUGGCCAACACUAUUUCGUUAAUGUCCAACGUGAUACGCAAGGUAGUGAGUAAACAACGUAUACGAUACAAUGAAAAAGGAUACAAUUUGGAUUUAACAUACAUUUGUGAUAACAUAAUUGCCAUGGGGUAUCCAGCAACGGAUAAACUAGAGCGCCUAUACAGAAACCGAAUGGAAGAUGUCCUUAAGUUUUUGGAAGAGAAUCAUGGCAGGCAUUACAAAAUAUAUAACCUAUGCUCAGAGCGUAGUUACGACGUUGCUAUAUUUCACGGGAGAGUAGCUGUUCUACCGUUCGAAGACCAUAACCCUCCAACGAUUGAGUUAAUACAACGAUUUUGCAUGGAUGUUGAUUUAUGGCUCAAGGAAGAUUCGUCCAAUGUUGUAGCCGUGCACUGUAAAGCUGGAAAAGGCAGAACCGGUACCAUGAUCUGUGCAUAUUUAGUGUUCAGUGGACUUCAAAAAUCCGCUGAUGAUGCAUUAGCGUGGUAUGAUGAGAAACGUACAAAGGACCGAAAAGGUGUGACAAUCCCAUCUCAGCGUCGAUAUGUUCAGUAUUUUUCCAAACUAGUUUGUUCAAGUGUUCCAUAUUCGAAAAUAAGCCUUAACGUAUGUGAAAUACGGUUCUCGGAGUCCAGUUGUUUGCAAAACUUAGGCACGGUACAAUGUUCAGUAUCUGUAUUACACGACUCUGCCACAGAAAAUGCAGAGCCAGAUAAACAGAAAACCUGGAAGAUUGAUUUUAAAAAAUCAUUUGUUUUGACCAUUAAACCAUCUUUACCAGUUUCCGGUGAUGUAAAAUUCGAACUCACACAAAAAUCACCAGAGAAAAUCAUUUGUCACUUUUGGCUAAAUACAUUUUUUGUGCGAAAUUAUUCACCUUGCGAGUCCGAUGGAACAGUUAACAAAUAUAUACACACUUUAGGUAAAUCAGAAAUCGAUGAUGUACAUAAAGACAGAGAACAUAAAACGUUUUCAGAGGAAUUCAAGAUUUCAAUCGUAUUUGAGGCAGAACAAUUUAGUAACGAUGUUCAAACUGAACCGUCUGAAAAAGAGAGAAAUGAAAAUGUUUUAAAUUUUGAAAGAUCAGACUAUGACAGUGUAUCUCCAAACUGCUUUCCCGAAAAAAAAGUCUUAACUGCGAUCGUCAAUGAUAAUACAGCGAAAAGUCAAACAAUAGAACCGUUGGAUCAUAAGGAUAUAGUUACUAAAAUCCAAUACGACACAUCAACCAAUUCAAAAAAUACUUCGACAGCGUCUAAACGCAAACAGCCUAAUAGCAAACCUCUUUUACCAAGCUUGAAUGAUUCCACAAAAGAGGAACUAAAAAAAAAUCAUAUAUUUAAUCAACCGUCCAUUAAAAAAACUGAUUUAAUCAAAUGGCAGAAUAGUGAAGUUCAUAUCACCUCUGACACUCGAAGUAUAAACGAAAGUAAGAACAUCAAUUACAAUUCAUACAUCACAUGUAAACAAUCCUCUCCAAAAUUCAACUGUGGUACCGAAGAAGGCGAGGAAGAUUGGGAAUCCGAAUAAACACCCGAGACGAUUUAAAAGACUUCUGGCUGAACGAUCUCUUAAUUUUGAUGUGUAAUACGAAGCCACCAGAACUGGAUUUAUAUGUCCCCAAGACUUUUACGAGUAUACUAGCAGACAGGCUUACAGAGAUCCACUUCCUUUCACGGGGAACCGAUCGGUUACAGCUGGGCUCUGCACACCUGUUUAGAAUUUAAUGUACAUAGGUGAAUCAACAUACCUGUAAUCAAUGCUUAUUACGGACUUAUAAUUCUUGGUGAUUUAGCAAAGUAAUUAAAAUUGCUAAGUAAUUGGCUAAUCUAUUCGAAUUUGUAAAUAUACUGUAUGAUAUUUAUU
rnacentral:misc_RNA from 1 species